ACAGCACCGAGCUGGGGCGACAGGACCCCUCGUAGGUGGGUGAGGGAUGGGGCCUGAGCCUGGGUGUGGGUGCCCACCAGCAGGGGGCCAAAGACACACGCCUGCGCAGUUUCCUGGCUGGGGGCUGCUCUCAUUCUCAGGAAUCCUCUCGAGGGCAGCCGCUCUUUAUUUUAACCCCCCCCCCCCAAGAAAAGAAGUUCCCCAGUCCAGGACUGACAUCCCAUCAGGCAGACUAGUAAUGUCUCCACCACGUUCCAUUCUGCCCGGUACCCCAGGGGCGGGGGAGAACCAGGGCUGGCGGUCAACCCCUGGCACCAGCAGCCUCUACAAGGCCCAGCCCCUGAGCUGGUGCGGGCAGAGUGGAGCCCAAAGGGAGCACGGCUGCUAGAUUUUGCUCCCAAAGCACAGAGCUUGGGGUGGGGGAGGGAGGGAUCCCGGGUGCCCCCAGCCUGCGCUGCAUGCCUCCCUCGGGACCUCCGCCCAUCCCUGGGUCCCAGCCGGCCUGGGCUCUUCCCAGCCCAGCCGCGUGGCUGCCAGCCAGAGGACUGGCCGUUGGUGGGAGCUUUUCAAAACCCCUGACCCUGAGUGCCCGGCACUGCCAGGGGACACCCGCUCCUGUGUUCUAGACACUGAGAGGGUGGAGUUGAGAGCUUGUUUGCCCACUCAUCAGGCCACAGGCAUGUGGGCUCCGGGCCACAUUUCUGGGGCCCUGGAGGGUCUUUGUGUCUCCCUGUGUCUCCUCCGCUUUUCCUCCCCUGCCUCCUGGUCGGCUGAAGAGCAGACCCUGCCUGAGACACGGAAGUGCCCGUUUUGUGAGUCCCCAUCACCUCUGAAUGUUUCUUCAGCUAAUUUACAGUGCUCCGUCAAUUUUCUGCUGCACAGCACGGUGACCCAGUCACACAUACAGUGCUGCUUUGCUUUGCAGAAGCAUUUUAAUGAAGACAUCUUGACGUUUCCCCCAUAAACACUGCAGCGAAUAAGGACCCGGACAGUCUCCUGUCUGAACAAGUGCCACCGUCACAUCCAAGACUUCCUGUCACUUCAAUAACAUCGUCUAAGAGUCGGUCCGUAUUCAAAUCUCCCUGGUUGUCCUCAGAAUGUCCUUUCCGGCUCCUUUUUGUUUUGAUCUGGGAUCCAGCUGGGGAUCACAGGUGGCAGCUGGUUUGUCAUCUGCCUGCUUCAUCUCUUUGAAGUUAGAACCAGCUCUGGUCUUUCUUGCUUCUGUGACCAGCAUUGACAUUUUCUGCCAAGUCGGGGCCAGUGGAAUCGAUUCCAUAGCCUGUAAUGUCUGGUUGUUUCCUCACAUUUGGGGCAGGAGGGGUGAUGCUGCCAGGUACUCCUCAGAGCAUCACCCAAGGAGUCCCACAGUGUCGGUUUGUCCUGUUGUUGGCGAUGCGGAGUUUGCGUAGUGGGUUCGAGCCGUGUCUGCUGGACCUCCUCACUGUGCUACCUUCCCCCUUUCACUGAUAGGUAGCCUGAGACCGUGUAAGUAUCUGGUUCUCCAGCGGCUUUUCACACGAUAGUUUUAGCCUCUGUUGAUGCCUCUCACCUCAUGAAUUACCCCGGUGGCUGUGAAAUGGUGAUUUUUCUAUCCUUGCUUCUAGAGUGUUGUUCUGUAAAUAUCUUUUCUUGGCCCCUUUUCUGAGUGUCACUGUGGACUCAUGGAUUCUUUUCUUUCCAGUGUGUGAUAAUUCAUUACCAAUGUUAUUCUUCUUGAGGCACGAGAUCUUUUUGUUUUGUUUUUAAUGCAACACUCUAAAAUUUUGAUCCUUAUUACUUAUUAAUAAGUAAUCAUUAAUACAUAUAUUUAAUGUAUUAAUUAUGUCAUACCUGUCUUAUUUCUGAUUAUAUUUAUAACUUUUCAGUAGUUAGGAACUUAUUUUCCAUUUCUAGUAAGAAUAAAUAUGCUGGAGUUCCCGUCCUGAACUGAGGUGGGUCCCUGCCCUCUGCC